UACACUAUACACAAGCGAAUCAUGUUGUGUCAUUUACAUGACGGGUAAAUUAAAUGAACAUGUCUUGAUUAGGUAUGACAUACUUUGGACAAGGAAGAGACCUGCAGAUAAAUAACACAAUUAAACAAACAAGUACUGAAAUAUAAGUGUUCCGCAUUAAGCUUGCUAGUAAGGAAAAUAUCAGGAGAUGGCUUGCUAGCUUUCACCUCUAGAUCACCCCCAUGGCAACUUGAUACAUCAGAGCAAGAAAACAUUCCCCAAUGGUUACAAACCUUCGGUGCAAAAUGACAUUCAUGGGAUCUGAAGACAUCACUAAGAAAUAUCAGGUUCUAUAUGAGUCUGACUUAUUAAAGAACAGAGAACAAUGAAGAAAAGUGCAGUACAU
rnacentral:lncRNA from 1 species